GACGAACGCUGGCGGCGUGCUUAACACAUGCAAGUCGAACGAAGAGCGAUGGAAGCUUGCUUCUAUCAAUCUUAGUGGCGCACGGGUGAGUAACGCGUAAUCAACCUGCCCUUCAGAGGGGGACAACAGUUGGAAACGACUGCUAAUACCGCAUACGAUCUAACCUCGGCAUCGAGGAUGGAUGAAAGGUGGCCUCUAUUUAUAAGCUAUCACUGAAGGAGGGGAUUGCGUCUGAUUAGCUAGUUGGAGGGGUAACGGCCCACCAAGGCGAUGAUCAGUAGGCGGUCUGAAGGGAUGAAAGGCCACAUUGGGACUGAGGCACGGGCCAGACUCCUACGGGAGGCAGCAGUGGGGAAUCUUCCGCAAUGGACGAAAGUCUGACGGAGCAACGCCGCGUGAGUGAUGACGGCCUUCGGGUUGUAAAGCUCUGUUAAUCGGGACGAAAGGCCUUCUUGCGAAUAGUUAGAAGGAUUGACGGUACCGGAAUAGAAAGCCACGGCUAACUACGU
rnacentral:rRNA from 1 species